CUUAUCCUUAUGGAUACUAGUCAGGUUCUUAACCCACUGAGCCACAACAGUUAAAGAGAAUUUUAUUCCAAGUAGAGCAGCUGUCCUCUGUGGUUGAAAAUUCAGUGGAGAAUCCAAAGGUGCAAGUUGGUGGCUCUUUUCUAGUGACUGGAAAUGGAUGCUGUCAUUGUGAUCUAGGAGAGACAGGAUUUUUUUAGAUGACGUAAAAGUCAGAUGACAGUCUUGUCCUACAGGCAUGGCUACAAGGAGUGAGGCACAUCCCAGGCAAGAGAGCAGGCAUGGCCAGAUUAAAGCAUAGCCAGUGCCACCAGUUGAGAUGCUGAAACACAGAUUUUGAGUGACUCAGCAUCCCGGCUGGCUGAGGGGGUCGCAUGUUGUCCACGAGUUCUGAGCAUCCUGCACUGACUUAAAGGGCCUGAAGGGGGCGCGCUAAGCAGCACUCGCAGGCGAUGAAGCGCAUGCGUAUCCGCGUAUGGUCUUGGUGGGUGGUCUUCUGCGAGGUGGGAGAAAAGGGUUCCCUGGCAGUGUUGGGACACAGCGUGAUGGCUCCACGUCCGGAGGAAGCUGCUCCCCGCCUGCCCCAACCUGAGAUGCGGGGUGCACCGCCGCUCCUUCCUGCCUGACCUGCAUGGUUCCUUCUCUGCCUUCUCAGGCACGUAAGGGAAAAAAGCAUUGAUCACAAGCCUCCCCGCCUCUGACUAUGCCUCCAUUUCAAACUUGCCCUCAUCAAGAUCCACCUCAAAUGCUAUUUCCUGGAACUUUUCCCGAUUCUUCUGGCAGAGUGCUUUCGUCUCUGUGCCUACAGGACUUCGAUACACUUGUUGCUGGAGGUGUCAUGUUUCAAUUGGAAUCAGACACAAGUUUGUCUGGUUGUGCCUUUGAUUCCCAUUUCUACUGGAUUCUUGAGGGUCUCAGUUAUUUCUGUACCCACAAUGCUUGGCAUAAUGCCUAGUAGAGGACACUCAACAAAGAUCUGCUGAAUGAAUGAGGAAUAAGAUGUGAUGAAGGAGUUCCUGUCAUGGCUCAGUGGUUAAUGAAUCCGACUAGGAACCAUGAGGUUGCAGGUUCGAUCCCUGGCCUUGCUCAGUGAGUUAAGGAUCCAGCGUUGCUGUGAGCUGUGGUGUGGGUCACAGAUGCGGCUCGGAUCCCACGUUGCUGUGGCUCUGGCGUAGGCCAGUGGCUUCAGCUCCGAUUAGACCCCUAGCCUAGGAACCUCCAUAUGCCGCAGGAAUUGGCCCUAGAAAAGGCAAAAAAAAAAAAAAAAAAAAAAAAAAAAGAUGUGAUGAAAAAGUCACAGGCAGAAAAACAGCCCAGGUACUAUGAGAUUAUUACCAUAAGGUGUAGUGAUCACUACCAUCUCUUCAUAAGGAGAUGUAUAAAAAGGAGAUGUGAAGGAAAGAAUGGCUGAUUACAGUUAGAAGGGCUGAGGAUGGCUUCUCAAAAAUGACACAUGAAGCAGCUAGUGGUGAACUGAGAGCCAGCCAGAACUUAAGCCUGGCUAACCCUCCCACAGUAAGGUGGUGUCACACAUCAGAAGGGUGGUGGGGUCCAAUGGGGAAGCCUUGUGUGUCGUGCCUAGGAUUUUGAACUUGAGCCCCUAAUCAGCAGGAAGUCAUUCAGGGCUUUUAAAGUAGGAAGAGAAGUGAUGGGGUCUGAUGUUGAAAGAUGGCAUUGGAUAGAAAGCCAAAAAGACUAGGGAGGAAGAUGCCAGUUGAGACUCAGUCUUAGGGCGGAGACAGGAGGACCUAGACGAAAGCACAGGCUGAAGAGAAAGUUCGGUAGUUGAAUUCCCUCAUUCGAGACACACUACUAAGAUGGGGUACCAGUUCUUAGUGGAAGGCUGCUUAUGGGAGGGAAGAAAAGGAGGUGUUGAAUGGACAGACUCCCAGCCUGGGAGAUGGUGCCAGGCUAUGUCACCCCCAGAGACAAGAGGCACAGACUGUGGAGAGCCCUGGGGGAGGAAGACAGAACGCACACCUGUGGCGCCUACAGAACAUCCAAGGGAGCUGCCAGCUAGGAUGAUGAAGACAGAGGCCUGGAGCUGAAGGAAAAGUCGGUAUGGGGAGGCUCAGCCCAGCCUCCUCUCAGGCUAUGGAACCUGCUCUUCCUAGGAUGCGGCAAAAGCAUUCAAGAAAGACGGGUUAGAGACUGAUGUUUACUCAGAGACUGCAGGUGGCCUCAUAAAUAGAUCAUCAUGUACUUCACCUUGACUGCUUUGUGGUGGUGGAUGUGAAGGUGAAGCAACAUUCUCUCCUAUACACGCGUUUACCUGCCUUGUGUAGACACCUCAACCAAUGAGCUACGCAAUCCUAGUCCCACCGUGCCACAGACAUGUAGCACCACAAGAGAGAUGGCAACCGUCAGGAAAUAAAAAUGAUAUAUUUCCAUUUCCUGUAUGUUCAAGGACCAGUCCAUUAAGAAACCACAUGGAAGAAUAUGGGUUGCACUCCAGUAUGUCUUAAGGUAAAAAAAAAAACAUUUUCAUAUGCUAAACUUUGGAUUCUGUCUUGAAAUGAAAAUCAAUAGAUAAAUUGAGUUAAGUGGCAGUUUCUAAGACUCUACACUUUAAUUGGUAAAUAAGACAAAUCUCUUUGGAAAUGAGAAAGAGAUAUAUUCUAUCAGGUAUAUAAAAAAAAAGGCAAAUGGUAAAGGAGUUCACACUUCUUUCUGAAUGGGAAUAUUAAGCAUCUCGACCUGCAGAGCAACAGGAUGGAGAUGAGAAUUCAUACAUAAAAAUUUUAAAAGUAAAUGUUAAAAAAUGAUCCUACUUUCUCUUUUUCCCACUGAAAGUAUAGGUUUGCUUGCCCCUUCUGACCCCUAAUGUCCAAGGGACAAUUAGACUGCCACUCAAAUUCUGAAGGAUAAAUAUGUGAGAAGGAUGUGUUAAUUAACUAGUGGUGGGAGUCUUCAUGAUAUAUACAGGUAUCAACAACACAAUAUACACUUUAAAUAUCUUACAGUUUUGUUAAUUAUACCUCAGUAAAGCUUAAAAAAAAGAAAUCAGUGUUGCCAGGGGUUAAGAGGGGAGGGAGGGACAAAGGGGGGGACACAGGAUUUUUAAAGCAAUGAAAGUAUUGUGUGUGACACUGUAAUGAAGGAUACAUGUCAUUCUACAUUUGUCUAAACCCAUGAAACACACACCACUAAGAGUGAACCCCAAUGUAAAGCAUAAACUUUGGGUGAUAAGAUGUGUCCAUGUAGGUUCAUCGUGUGUAACCAAUGUUGAUGGUGGGGGAGGCUGUGUGUGUGGCAAGGGCAGGGGGUAAGUGGGAACUCUCUGUACCUUCUUCAUUUUCACGUAAACCUAAAACUGCUCUAAAAAAUAAAAUCCAUGCUUGGAAAAAAUUACUACUUAUACUUUUUUUAAGAGAAAGUUCUAAAGGAGGCUGAACUUCCCUCCAAGAAAUGCCAUUUCCCUUCUAUUGUCCAAUAAACAGGGGGCUGGCAGUUGGGAGGGUAUAAAUUAAUUUGCUGCCUUUAGACUGAAUUGGACCAGGGAUAACAAGUGUGCAUAUGAAUUUCUUUAAAACUCACAAAUUGUUUAAUACCAACACCAGCAAAACUGAUAGGGAUGGAGUAGGCAUGGGUAGUUGUAGAAGUCCCAAUAAAGGAUCAUAGAUAGGGAAAUCUAGGGGAUGCUGGGAGAUCACUGUAAGUUAAUAACUGCUCAGGGAGUUCCUGUCAUGGCUCAGCAGUUAACGAACCCGACUAGCAUCCAUGAGGACGCGGGUUCGAUCCCUGGCCUUGCUCAGUGGGUUAAGGAUCCGGCGUUGCCGUGAGCUGGUCCCAGACUCAGCUUGGAUCUCAAGUUGCUGUGGCUCUGGUGUAGACCAGUAGCUGUAGCUCCAGUUUGACCCUUAGCCUGGGAACUCCACAUGCCAUGGGUGUGGCUCUAAAAGCCAAAAAUCCAAAAAAUAAAAAAAGUAACUGCUGAAGAAGGCCAUCAGAAUGAGGCAGGCUUGCUUGACUAGUGAAGGCAGGAGACUUUGGGUGGGGAAUGGGAUGAGGCCUACAUUCAGAUUCAGACCAAGGGUAGGAGUUGAGGACCACCCUUCUGCUGAUUUGAAUACACAUCUUACUGGACACGGAUACUAAGGAGGAGCUUCCGACCCCCACUUCCCUUGGAUAAUAAAACUGUAGCCCACAGGAUCCUGGGGGCAGAGCCUCCUUGCCUGCCAGCUUUUAUCUCUCACAAGCUUCCUAUCUUAAUAAAUCUAUUUCUUGCCUAUCACUGUGUCUCUAGCUGAACUCCUUCUGUGUGGAGGAAUGAAGAACCUGAACCUCAGUGAGUCUAGACAUCAGGUGAGUGAUUCUAAUUUAAAACUGUGGGUUCAAGUCCCCGUCUAUGUUCUGGCUAGUUUCAGGCCGUUAGUGCUGUCAGUUUUAAAACCAUCCCUGAAAGUGGCACUAAAAAUAAUUACUGUUAGCACAGAACUAGGUGUUAUAUUAAGCAUAGGUAACCUUAGAUGGGCAUGAAAUUUCUCUUUAGAAUGAUGAAAAUGUUCUGAAAUGAGACUGUGGUGACAGUAGCACAGCUAUGUGAAUAUAGGAAGAAUCAUCAUUGAAUGAGCAAGGUUUUUUUAAAAAAAUGUACGAGGCGAAUCUAUAUCCUUAAGGAAGUCAUAAUCUUUCAGAGCAACCCAACAAAUCUGCUACCAGAUGAAUUUUCAUCUCAUCUCAAAAGCAAAUAUCCUUGAAAAUCAGCUCAGGAUAGCCAAGGUAUGGAAAUGACUCAUAUUUCUAUCUGAUAAUCAGAAAAGGGGCUGAGAAGUCACUCAGCUGCUAAGUUUCUCUCUGGAGGGUGAGAUGCUAAAGGACAAGGAUUUCAUUCAAUUCACGUAACCUCUUCCCAAUGGAAUGCUGAGGGACUUCACCAUCCAAGGUGAAUUAUGAGAGGAAGUCACGGCUUUGUUUUGUUUUUAAAUCACUGUUUACCUUUACUCUCUCGCUCUCUCUAGGGGAAUAAAAACACCUUGAAAUUUUUUUUUAAAUGAGAAAUAGAAAAGCUUGGAAUUCACAAGGAAGAUCCAAUCAAGUAAGAGUCAUAAUGGUUUUUACUUAAAAAAUGCAUAGUAGUAGCACCAUUAUUUUACAUGUGGUCAAAGGCAGACGCUAAUGACAUGUCUCAGUUGACCUCUCAACGGGUCAAAGAAGAGCUUGGAAUGCCUUUUUAGAAACACCUGUAAGAUCUAGGUCAAUGACCUAAAAGUAGGGUGAUAAUAUUGGUUUACCUGGUUGACGCCUAUCAUCCUGGUAUAAUUAUUUAAGAUAAUUAAUAAUUAAGAAUAAUGAUAUGAAAAUGAGGCUCACUGGCCAGCAAGGUCACCCUGGAAGCCACAGAGGGGAUCUCAGCAGAACAGGCACCCACAUGUGACAGUUAUCCGCAUGACUCGUUUUCUUAAUGGCUAGAGCCUGGCCCUGGAAAUUCUAAUACACAUGCCUGAUCAAGAAAGCCUGAUCCUGACCAUUGACCUGCACUUUAGGGGAUGAGAGAGGAGUAAAAUAUCACUCUCCAGUGAUCUGCCUAAGUUAACUGAAGCAGGAGUUGCAAAGCCAGGGCAAUAGCUCUAGUCUCCAAAUUUCUACUGCCUACCGAAACUCCAAAACUAACUCUCAGGAACUCUCAGGCUCAGGCCCAAGCUGUGUUGACCUAAUGACCACCUCCUGGGACAGCUUUCCUCAUCAGCCUGCAAGUCUCCCACUUCCCAUACACCGCCAUCUACUUGUACAUUAGAGCUUCCACUGGGCUGUGCAGGGCCUGGAUUAUGUUUUCAUUUUAUUCUCAACAAUACUCCUUCAUUUAGAAUUGAGACUUGCCCUUUAAACCUGCCAUCCAUUGUAGGAGACCAUUGUUUAAAAAUCCAUUUCAAAGUGAAACUACUCACAGCUAGGUCAAAAGUAGUUCAACCCCUAAAGGGAUGCCCUCCAGCAUCUAGAUGUCCCAGGCCAUGAGGCUCUGAUUAUGCAAGACCUUACACUACUUGUUCAUUUUAGGUAUGAUAAACUGGGAGAGAGAGGAAGUGAGAGCAUUUCUGCAGGUUGGUAGAAAUGUCCCUCUGUGGCAGCACAACAAAAAGCCCAUAAGCAAACACUGAUAACACUGGCUCAGCAUCACUGUGCUUUCUUGUGCAAAUGGGUAUUUUAACUCCUACCUCUAUCUCACUUCUUAAAUGCCAUGCAGCUGUGGCAAAACAAGAGGUUACCAUCUCUCCUGGCUGAGGAACAUCUGUACCCAUGCAGAGCCUACUGAACAACUGUUUCCCUCCAUUCCAGAUCCUGCUGUUUCUAAGAAAUUCCCUGGUAGCACAGUGAGUUAAAGAUCCAGCUCUGGUUGUGGCUCUGGUUACAGCUGUGGUGCAGGUUUGAUCCCUGGCCUGGGAACUUCUGCGUGCUGUGGGCUCAGCCAAAAAAAAAAAAAAAAAAAAAGAAAAGAAAAGAAAGAAAAAUCACUGACAGACCCUGCUGUUUCUGUAACAGUCCCUUUAUCCUUAGUCUGUGCGUGUCUGAAAGAAAGAGACCCAUGUACCACCAUUCAAAGAACGGGAACAUUUCUGUUGUUCAGGACAGGGGGAUGUUCUGGUUCAUGUGAAGUUACUAUGUAAUCCUAAGAAGCACUUCAAGGUCUCACAGUGUCACAAGGGUCAUAUUAGUGAUGAAUUAUACUAAGUGCACGUAACCUUAAAAAGCAUUCUCAAUAGAAGAGCAUUAGAUAAGAGUCUCCCUUGGGUGUUUAGUGAUGUUUCCCAGCAAAGAUGGAUUAGGGAUGUUCUGUCUAAUGACCCAGCUUGGAGAGGAGGGGCAGCAGCUAAUGAAUGAAAAAGCCCCUGUAGUCCCCCGACCCUGCAGAGAGCACACCAAGGGCAGGAAAGCUGACACGUGGAGGAAUAGAGACAGGAGUUCCUAUCACACACACCUCUCAGGAAUGCAGCCUGAUAGCAAGUUUCCCAAGAUGCCAGGACAGGUCACUAUUCUCAAAUGUGAACUUCUAUGUGCACAUUACUUUAAAAAACCUCCCUAUAAAAAGCUUAGACAUUUAAAAAACAAAACAAAAGAAAAAAAAAUCAUUCUGUGUGGUCAACUAGGAAGAAAACCAGAAGUUUCUUGCACAAAUAUGUCGUGGAUGUCAUCCAGGUAAAAAGAGCUCCAAGAAGACCAGGGGCUGCUACUUUUCAAGAUUUGCAAUAAAAAGGUAUUUCGUCUCAGUCUAAAAGUGGCCUCUUUAGUUCUUAACACUACAGGGAAAAAAAACCAAACAGAUGAGUUUUACCUCAAUUUUUCAUCUGAAUUUAACACUAAGUUAACACUCUAUCCAAAAGUUAGUUCACAUGUAUACAUUCUGUGUCUUUAAGCCCAUUUUGGAGAAGGUGGGAGCAAACUACACAGCCUCUGAUUAUCAAGGAUUGAUAGAGAAUCAGAGACCCAGAGGAAAAAAGGAUCCACUACACAUUUCCUGCCAGCUUUUCUUAUUUAAUGAGCCCUCACUUUUUCCUGAAGCA